AUUGAAACACUAGUUCUCAUAUGGUCAUUGAAGUUAAGCAGCAUCAAUCCUGAUCAGUACUUAGAUGGGUGACCACUUGGAAAUACCAGGUGCUGUAA